GAACGCACCUUGCGCCCCUUGGUAUUCCGAGGGGCACACCCGUUUGAGCGUCGUGAAAUUCUCAACCUCCUCGGUUUCUUCUGGAGACUGAAGGAGGCUUGGACUUUGGAGGCCUUUGCUGGCGUGUCUCGCCAGCUCCUCUUAAAUGAAUUAGCGUGGUCCUCUUUGCCGAACCUCGACACGUGAUAAGAUGCUUCCGUGUCUCGGUUUCUGGCUCUGUUGCUUUUGGGACCCGCUUCUAACCGUCUGGACCUUGCGUCGAGACAAUGUUCGAGCUCGUAUCCCUUCUUGGGAAACCCCCUCGACCCCACGAACCCUUGGCCUCAAAUCGGGUGAGACUACCCGCUGAACUUAA
rnacentral:sRNA from 1 species